rnacentral:lncRNA from 1 species
UCAGCACGAGCGGCCGGCGAGGGACCAGCGGCUGCGGGGAGGAGAGGAGGGGACCCGGGUGCGCGGAGCUGGGCUAGUUACAGCUCAGCCCCGCAGCAUCAUGGGGUUUGUAGUCCGCCUGGUAGAACCGAGCGUUUCCGAUGACCAGAGAUGGUCUGGAACUGAUUUCCUUGGGGGGUGGGCAGAGAGUCAGACCCGGCCGAAAUGGAGGCCUUACUUGGAUGCCAGGUGGGUUGGGGCACGUCUUGGCAUUUUGCCUUUUGCAAGGAAAUGGGGAAGGCUUUGAGGUCUGGCCUGAAGGAUUGGGACGGGGGACUGUGGCCUGCAGAAGUAAGCUUGGGUCCCAGGGAGGGUAAGGAGGCGUCUGGAUUCCUAGAGGUAAUGAACUAAAGAGUGACCCCUUAGAGAGAUGCAGGGCAUCAGUAAGUACCAAGAGUCAUUGAAGCAGCCAGGAAUCUGACACUCGAAAUAUUUUUCAAUUCUUUGCUCUCUCACCUUCCACACAUCACGUUGGAAAAGAGAAUGUCUAAUGAGACGAAGAAGACGUCUUUCCCCUCAGUUGCUCAGGAAGAACCAGGAUGAGGUUGAGCAAAGACAGCAGCAGGUGGCAAUUCCCCACCUCCAUCCCAUGUGGGUCCCUGCCUAAGGGAAAUGACUGGCUCCAGAUUGCCUCCUUCCUGAAUGAUGACAGCAGACAAGCGCUUCCACAAGGAUCCCUUGCAGAGAGUGUGGAAAAGUCAAGUUGGCCUCUGUGGUGGCCUGCAAAUGUUAAAAGGACCAAGAUGCCUUGGGAGAGAAAAUGUCAAGAGAGCUGUGUUUAAAUACCGUAAGAAUUGCUUGAUCUUAAGCAAAUUGCUUAUACUUCUGAGUUUCUCGGUCCACUCGCCUCUAAAAUGGGACGGAUACAACCUCCUGGGAUGAGCUAAGAGUGUGAACUGCCUAAAGACAGCGCCUCUCUCCUUCACCCAGGCUGAGACAGGUAGUAGGAACGAACAUGUUGCUUUCCUUGAGCCACCUCAAGGCAGAAAUAAGGAAUUCCUUGCCAGCCCGACUUAGAACAACAAUCUAGAGAGUGUUUGCGUGGGAGGUGACAGCAAAAGCUUGCAAACUCCUUGUGCCGGUCUCGGGUUUCUUUGUGUGGUCUUCUCCCCGUCUUCCUGCACACCCAGUGGUGCCAGGCCGGGAGGACUGAGGGAGGAAUAGACUGCCUCGCCCCUUUCUGCAGCCUGGGAGGAGCCGGUUGGCGUCUCUGCAGCCCAGGGCCGCAACCCAC